CCUACGGGUGGCAGCAGUGAGGAAUAUUGGUCAAUGGGCGCGAGCCUGAACCAGCCAAGUCGCGUGAGGGAAGACGGUCCUAUGGAUUGUAAACCUCUUUUGUCGGGGAGCAAAAGACGCCACGCGUGGCGUUCCGAGAGUACCCGAAGAAAAAGCAUCGGCUAACUCCGUGCCAGCAGCCGCGGUAAUACGGAGGAUGCGAGCGUUAUCCGGAUUUAUUGGGUUUAAAGGGUGCGCAGGCGGAAGAUCAAGUCAGAGGUAAAAUUGAGAGGCUCAACCUCUUCGAGCCGUUGAAACUGGUUUGCUUGAGUGAGCGAGAAGUAUGCGGAAUUCGUGGGGUAGCGGUGAAAUGCAUAGAUAUCACGAAGAACUCCGGUUGCGGAAGCGGCAUACCGGCGCUCAACUGACGCUCAUGCACGAAAGUCUGGGUAUCGAACAGGAUUAGAUACCCUUGUAGUC
rnacentral:rRNA from 1 species